UGAAAUUUAAUUUAAAUCAUUCAAAAUACAAGAACUUCCAUGAUCAAUUAUUGACUGCCAAUUAUAAAAAUAUCACAAUCCAAUCUUUCUGAAAGAGUGAGAGAGAAAGAGAGAGUGGAUCCCGUCGCGCUUAUCGGGCUACGCGAAACCCUACCCCAACCACUCCAUGGAAGCACCAGCAGCCGCAGCCUCGCUUCCUCGAUCUCUCUAGGGUUCUCUCUGUUAUGUUCUAGACUGAUCAGGACCGUCGCGAUACAAUCGAACGGUCAACGUGGGCACUAGGUCGCCCGGGCCUGACGGCAGUAAUUAUGUAUAAAUGAGGGCUGGGUGGAAGAGGAGAUGGUAAGAGAUGUGUGAGGAAUUGUGAGGCGAGUCUGAGGAGAGAGAAAGGGAUAGAAGAGCAUCACGUGGUGCGGAGAGCAGUUAGAGAGAGAGUAGGGGUUGUGCAAUGCAUGAUGGGGUCGUGGUCAUUUCUGGUAGAGAAGUUAGAGAGAGAGUUGGGGUAGGGACCGCAACCUGCACCUUUGUGUUGUCUUUUACUCUGUCUCUUUUUCUUUCUCUUCCUUAUUUAUUGCUCCUGCCUACGACUCUUCUGAGGCUGACCCACUACAUUUACUCCUCGCUUUCUCUUUCCUCUUCAUUUUUCUCUUUUUAAUAGUGGGAGUUUGGUUGAGCUUUUACUCUCCUGUCCUUCUCUCUCUUUCUUUCUCUCUGUUCAGAUUAAUCAUUUUGGUCAUCAUAACCUCUUCACCGCCUCUUUAUCUCCACCCCAACCUGAGCCGCAUCCCUGAGAGAGAAUCCGGGUCUCAUGGGCGAGAGAGAAUGAGAGAAAAAAAAAGGGCUUUUGCUGCCGCUGCGUUUCAGUAAAGUGGAAGCUUUCUCUUUGAGGGGAAUGUUGUCUGGCUCGAGGCCUCCGGCCGUAUCUCUUUGUUUCUCUCUUUUCUUUUUCUAUGGCCGGUUUCUAACAGAGCUUUCGAUGAGGAGGUCUCGGACCAGGCUUCAUUCCCCCCAAUCACUGCUUCCCUCUCCACGUCAAAAGCUCUCAUGCGGUCGAAAGAUAAGAGAUCUGAUGCCCCAAAUUCGAAUAACGCCUCGUUAUAUAGCAUACAGGUAAUGCAUUGAUCAGCAUGCCCACAGAUCAUAGAAAGGUGAGCGAAUAUUCUGACAAUUUCUUUUGCUUGGAAGGAAAUCUCUUCCUUCUUUCAUCUUCUAAGCUACUGCCUCUUUUGGUAAUGAAUACACUUAAAAGACAAAAUCAAUUGGUAAUCACUAGAAAUUUUGUUUUUGUAUUUGAUCGCAUGUUUUUAAAAACUUAUUCAAGAUUUAUUUUGUUUGGACAGGAUAAGAAGUGUAAAAAAAUAAUUCAUCUAUUAGUUACUUGAAGGGUUUGAUAUGCUGUGGGUCUAGACUUUCAUAUUUCAUUAAAAUUAACAGGCUUUCACAUCAGCGCUAAUUUUUUAUUAAUUUGCUAGCAAUGUUUAAAUAAACGAAGUCUCUUAUCUUAAUGAGAUUCUUAGUUAAAAAAACAAAAAAAAUUUAAGUGCACAUCUCAAGAGAUGCUCCUGCCAGACUUUUUAAUCUGGUGUACCAGUUCUACUGCAAUUUUUAAUCAGUGACAGAAAAAACAAGUCAACUGAGAGCCUUUCACGGGAGGAAAGUAUUAUACUGUGGUACCUCACAACUAUUUUUUUGUGAUUCUCACUCAAUUAUUUAUUUUAUUUUAUGUUAUCAUAAUUAAUAUCUAUGCAAAUAACAUAGAUGAUAAUUACAAUUACAAUCAAAAAAAAAAUUUUACUAGCCUUUCAUGACCGACAUAAGAUCAGCAACUAACAUAUAUAAAAAGUAUAUACUAAACCUAAUGUGUUGAGAUAGGCUAUUAUUCCAUUAAUUAUGUGUUAAACAAUGAGAAAAACAUUGUUUAGUUUCAUUUCCGAUGCCCUCCUUAAUUUCUUUUGCAUUCCCCAUAUAAGUUUCAAUUUUAAAGCUGCAAUGUGCCAUUACCUUGAGCACAACCUUUUUUUCGUUAUAAUGACUGUCGAAGUAAGUGCAUCUUUCGGCCUUAUCAAUUUCCAAUGGAAGAUGCUCCAACUGCGUUACUUUUAUGUUUGACCACCAUAAAAACUGACCUCUCUUUCUCCCUCUCUCUCUCUCUCUCUAGCAGCACAGAUUCUGUUUUCAGUUCUUUCCUGCGCUUAAACUUUCUUUCCGUCUUCUUAUCUGUAUGAAUGCAUCGUCAGGCAUUAAUGGUUUGAAAAUUACUGAGAAAAAACAUGGGAAGCCAUAUUCAACAUUUAUCGCCAAAAAAAAUUUAUGUUAAAAAAAGUGAGAAGUUUUAUAAGUGCCAUUUUACAACAGUUAGAUUGGCGAAACGAUCACUUAAAUCGUGUGAGUAUUUAAAGAGAGUUCUUUUAUUAGCAUCCUAUAGCAAUUAAACAAUUAAACCUGCUACUUAUAAAGAUUUGAUACUCUCCUCUCUCACACAUUCUGAAAGCUUGGAGAAAAGACAGGCAUUGGUGAUAGAAAACCAUCAUAGAUAGAUUCAGAAACACGUGUGAUGAUGGCUUUUGCUUGCGUGAGUAGGCAUAAUUGUCACCGCGAGGCUCAGAGAAAGAAAGAUAGCGAGAAAGUGAGCUGUACGGAUUUUAGGGGUUAGGGUUUUCAUGUUACUUGCAAAAUGGCUUUAGAUUUUUGGCUCUAGAUGUUAUUCGGGUUCGUUCUUAUAUCGCGUAGUUUAUGUUUUACAUGUUCUUAUUAUUUUUUUAUCAGUAAUAUGUAUUUCAAGUGGCGAGAAGGGCGAAAAUUUUAAUGGAAAGGAAGAUGAUUGAGCUAAUUAUUAAGAAA